rnacentral:rRNA from 1 species
CCAGACUCCUACGGGAGGCAGCAGUGGGGAAUAUUGCACAAUGGGGGAAACCCUGAUGCAGCGACGCCGCGUGAGUGAAGAAGUAUUUCGGUAUGUAAAGCUCUAUCAGCAGGGAAGAAGAAGGACGGUACCUGAGUAAGAAGCCCCGGCUAACUACGUGCCAGCAGCCGCGGUAAUACGUAGGGGGCAAGCGUUAUCCGGAAUUACUGGGUGUAAAGGGAGAGUAGGCGGCAAGGUAAGCGAUAUGUGAAAGCCUUAAGCUUAACUUAAGGAUGGCAUAACGAACUAUCUAGCUAGAGUACAGGAGAGGAAAGCGGAAUUCCUAGUGUAGCGGUGAAAUGCGUAGAUAUUAGGAGGAACACCAGUGGCGAAGGCGGCUUACUGGACUGUAACUGACGUUGAGGCUCGAAAGCGUGGGGAGCAAACAGGAUUAGAUACCCUGGUAG